AAACUUUCAACAACGGAUCUCUUGGUUCUGGCAUCGAUGAAGAACGCAGCGAAAUGCGAUAAGUAGUGUGAAUUGCAGAAUUCAGUGAAUCAUCGAAUCUUUGAACGCGCAUUGCGCCCUGGUAUCCCGAGG
rnacentral:rRNA from 1 species